rnacentral:rRNA from 1 species
AUGUACAUUCCUACAACAUAACAUUAAUGCAUUGGAUCCCAUUAGAAGUUCAAAGUUAAGCAUGCUUAGGCUAGAGUAGCACUGGGAUGGGUGACCUCUCGAGAAGUUCUAGUAUUUUACAUG